CUACUAUUCCCUCCGUUCGAAAAUACUUGUCAUCAAAAUGGAUAAAAGAGGAUGUAUGACAAGUAUUUCCGGACGGAGGGAGUACAUC
rnacentral:pre_miRNA from 1 species